rnacentral:rRNA from 1 species
GACGGAGGGUGCGAGCGUUGUUCGGAAUCACUGGGCGUAAAGGGCGCGUAGGCGGCCGUGCGUGUCGGGUGUGAAAGCCCGGGGCUCAACCCCGGAACGGCACCCGGGACUGCGCAGCUGGAGACCGGGAGAGGAGGGUGGAAUACCCAGUGUAGAGGUGAAAUUCGUAGAUAUUGGGUGGAACACCGGUGGCGAAAGCGGCUCUCUGGCCCGGUUCUGACGCUGAGGCGCGAAAGCGUGGGGAGCAAACAGG